AUUUUAAAGUUUUGAUUUCCCAAAAAAUCUUCCUUGUUAGGUAAGAUUGGUCUAAGUUUUUUUUUUUUUAAAAUUUUGGCUUUAGUUUGUCUUUUCAGAUCUAGAGAUUCAAAUCUUUUUCCGAUUUGGCCUUCUUUUUCUCAAAUCUCAAUUCCAUGGAGUUACGAAUUUCUAGUUCUUCUCAGUGAUUUUGUUCUCGAAAAUGGUCCGAAUUAUCUUGUUUUUGUGAGUUUGUUCCCCAGAUCUAAGGAUUGUCUUGGUUUAACCAGUAUUUCAUUUACACAUUUAUAGAUCUAAGGAUUGUCUUGGUUUAACUAGUUUUGUCACGUUUAGCUCGUGUUUGAUUUUGGUUUUUUUGUUGUCUCACCGUUUGUGUGAGUUUUGUUAUUUUCUCACCGUUUGUGUGAGUAUGAUGCUUGAUUUAGUAAUAAAAAUUGUUAGGGGAUUGCAUUCUCGAUCGAUGGCUCAAAAUGAUUAUGGCGGAAGCGAAAGUGGCGAAUUAUGAGUAAAUAUCAUCUUCAACAAAUCACGUGCUUUUAUCUCCAAGAAGAAUGGAUUAAUCAGUGAUUGUUUAUGUGUUUUGUUUGUUCGAUGCAACUAUUUAUGUAGAUGUCAUAUGAUUUUUUUAUUAUUGAAUGAACUCAUUAUAAAAAAAAUGUUCUUUUACAUUCAACCUCCAUCGUACUGCAUCUUAUUGAUUAAUUGUAUUGCUUCAAAAAACUCAACAUGAUCAAUGUCGAUGAAUCGUGAGGUUUGUCGCAAUCAAUUUUACAUUAUAUAUUUUCUAGAAUUAUUUUAGACGUGAUUAUGUAUAUGUGUGUUGCCUACUCACUGGUAAUUAUGUGUUUUCGUAUAAGUUUUUGUUUAGUGAUAGUUUGUUUUUAUGUUCGCUUAUUGUUUGAUUGAUUGUACGAUCUAGUUUUAGUUUUUUUGUUUUUCUUUUCAUUAGUCUCAUGUUAUAUGUAAAAUUCCUUCCAUCAUGCACUGAUGGUUCAAUUUUUAUUAAUAUAUGUUAGUUGUCUAUUUUAAUUUUUGAAGUAGC
rnacentral:lncRNA from 1 species